rnacentral:rRNA from 1 species
AUUGAACGCUGGCGGCAUGCUUUACACAUGCAAGUCGAACGGUAACAGGCCGCAAGGUGCUGACGAGUGGCGAACGGGUGAGUAAUGCAUCGGAACGUGCCCAGUCGUGGGGGAUAACGCAGCGAAAGCUGCGCUAAUACCGCAUACGAUCUAUGGAUGAAAGCGGGGGACCGUAAGGCCUCGCGCGAUUGGAGCGGCCGAUGUCAGAUUAGGGAGUUGGUGGGGUAAAGGCUCACCAAGCCAACGAUCUGUAGCUGGUCUGAGAGGACGACGAGCCACAAUGGGACUGAGACACGGCCUAGACUCCUACGGGAGGCAGCAGUGGGGAAUUUUGGACAAUGGGCGCAAGCCUGAUCCAGCAAUGCCGCGUGCAGGAAGAAGGCCUUCGGGUUGUAAACUGCUUUUGUACGGAACGAAACGGUCCUGGUUAAUACCCUGGGCUAAUGACGGUACCGUAAGAAUAAGCACCGGCUAACUACGUGCCAGCCGCCGCGGUAACAC